rnacentral:rRNA from 1 species
AUCCCAGACUCCUACGGGAGGCAGCAGUGAGGAAUAUUGGUCAAUGGUCGGGAGACUGAACCAGCCAAGCCGCGUGAGGGAUGAAGGUACAGAGUAUCGUAAACCUCUUUUGUCAGGGAACAAAGGCGGGGACGUGUCCCCGGAUGAGUGUACCUGAAGAAAAAGCAUCGGCUAACUCCGUGCCAGCAGCCGCGGUAAUACGGAGGAUGCGAGCGUUAUCCGGAUUUAUUGGGUUUAAAGGGUGCGCAGGCGGUCGUUAAAGGCGGGGGUGAAACCGCGGGCCCCCCCCCCCGCCCGCCGUUGAAACUGGCAGUCUCGAGUUGGAGAGAAGUAUGCGGAAUGCGCGGUGUAGCGGUGAAAUGCAUAGAUAUCGCGCAGAACUCCGAUUGCGAAGGCAGCAUGCCGGCUCCACACUGACGCUGAGGCACGAAAGCGUGGGUAUCGAACAGGAUUAGAUACCCCCGUAAAG